AGCGAACGCUGGCGGCAGGCCUAACACAUGCAAGUCGAGCGGCCGUAGCAAUACGGCAGCGGCAGACGGGAGAGUAACACGUGGGAACGUGCCCUUUGGUUCGGAAUAACGCAGGGAAACUUGCGCUAAUACCGAAUAAGCCCUUACGGGGAAAGAUUUAUCGCCAUUGGAGCGGCCCGCGUCUGAUUAGCUAGUUGGUGGGGUAACGGCUCACCAAGGCGACGAUCAGUAGCUGGUCUGAGAGGAUGAUCAGCCUCACUGGGACUGAGACACGGCCCAGACUCCUACGGGAGGCAGCAGUGGGGAAUAUUGGACAAUGGGCGCAAGCCUGAUCCAGCCAUGCCGCGUGGAUGAUGAAGGCCUUAGGGUUGUAAAGUCCUUUUAGCGGGGAAGAUAAUGACGGUACCCGCAGAAAAGCCCCGGCUAACUUCGUGCCAGCAGCCGCA
rnacentral:rRNA from 1 species